rnacentral:rRNA from 1 species
UACGUAGGGUGCAAGCGUUGUCCGGAAUUAUUGGGCGUAAAGAGCUUGUAGGCGGUUUGUCGCGUCUGCUGUGAAAUUUCGGGGCUCAACCCCGAACUUGCAGUGGGUACGGGCAGACUAGAGUGUGGUAGGGGAGACUGGAAUUCCUGGUGUAGCGGUGAAAUGCGUAGAUAUCAGGAGGAACACCGGCGGUGUAGACGGCUUUCUGGACCGUAGCUGACGCUGAGACACGAAAGCUGGGGGAGCAAACAGG